UCGAGAGGCUUACACAAUGGGGGCAACCCUGAUGUAGCGACGCCGCGUGGGUGAUGAAGGUUUUCGGAUCGUAAAACCCUUUCAGCAGGGAAGAAUGAAACCGGUGUUAAUACCACCGGAUUAGAGACGGUACCUGUAGAAGAAGCUCCGGCUAACUCCGUGCCAGCAGCCGCGGUAAGACGGGGGGAGCAAGCGUUGUUCGGAUUUACUGGGCGUAAAGGGCGUAUAGGCGGGCUGGCAAGUCAGGUGUGAAAUCCCCCGGCUCAACCGGGGAUCUGCACUUGAUACUGCUGGUCUUGAGUACGGAAGAGGGAAGCGGAAUUCCUGGUGUAGCGGUGAAAUGCGUAGAUAUCAGGAAGAACACCAGUGGCGAAGGCGGCUUCCUGGUCCGAUACUGACGCUAAAGCGCGAAAGUGUGGGGAGCAAACAGG
rnacentral:rRNA from 1 species